CUUUACUAAGUGUGAUAAAGGGACAAACACAACAUAAUCAUCUACUUAAGUGUUAUAUAUAUACAAUAUUUUUUUUUAUCUUUUUUUUAGUGUUACUCCUUUACUUCGUGUGAUAAAAGGUAAAAAUUUUCUGUAUAGAUGUGGCUGAUUGUCCAAAGGAUUUGUAUCCUUUACUUUAUAAGUGCAUUUACAACAAAUGUAUAGUGUUUACGAGGAUUCCGUUUCCUUUUGAUUGGAUAUAAGUAUCUCGCCGAAGAGGGUACACAAACGCCAUGCAAGGAGGAGUGAGUUCUUGCACUAGCAAAAAAUCUAUGCAACAUACCUUAUAGUUAUACCGUGAGUUGCCAUUUAAUCUUUUUAGUAGCAUCCAAUAAUUGUAUCUUUUAUUUUUUUUCUUUUUACAACUUCAUGGAUGUUGAAACUAUGACUCUACACUCAAAGAUGUUGAUAAUAAAAUGAAAUUAGGCACUAAAUAAUAUUAUAACUGAA